rnacentral:rRNA from 1 species
UACGAAGGGGGCAAGCGUUGUUCGGAAUUACUGGGCGUAAAGGGCGCGUAGGUGGCCGAUCAAGUCAGGCGUGAAAUUCCCGGGCUCAACCUGGGGGCUGCGCUUGAUACUGAUUGGCUUGAAUGCGGGAGAGGAUAGUGGAAUUCUCGGUGUAGCGGUGAAAUGCGUAGAUAUCGAGAGGAACACCUGCGGCGAAGGCGGGUAGCUGGGCCGACACUGACGCUGAUGCGCGAAAGCCAGGGGAGCGAACGGG